GAAGCCUCAGCCACCGGCACAGCAGCACCGGGAGAAGCCCAGGAAUUUACAGAUGAAGAGCCCAGGGUGAGAGCUGGUGACACCUGUGGAUCAUGCAGGACAGACCUCCACCGGUGGCUGGAAUGAGGGGCACGGCUGCCCCUCACAUCAUGCACCCAUCACCCAGCACAGUCCAGGUGUGUUGUACCAUGGGUGUUAGGUGGCACGAUGGUGGUGAUGAGGAUGUAAUCCACUGGCUUAAACCCUGCCCAGCUCACAUACUCCCUCCUCCAGGGCGCUACACCUGUCCCACUCCUGCUUCUGGGCAUCCUGGCUCCCCACACCCCACCUGCUGUCCUUAAGCCUGCAAGCCCCCACCCUCCAGACCCCACUCCCGAUACUCCACUGCCUCCCAGACACCAUGGCUGGGUCUCAGCUGAUGCUCACCCAUAGCCACCCUCAACAGGCUAGGAGGACUGAGAGGCCCCACGCAGCCCCCCAGGACAGCUGUUGGCCGAGGGAAGAGGAAGAGAAUUGACCCUGAGGGCCCCACCCAUGGUUCAUCCCUGCCACCAAGCCAGGAGACGGUGGCCCGCAGGGGAAGUGCAGGUGGAAGGACAGCAUAUUUUCAUGGACUACUCACUUCUACAAUCGGGGCUGGGGCCUCCAAUCUAGGCCCGUGCCCCA
rnacentral:lncRNA from 1 species